rnacentral:rRNA from 1 species
GGUCAAGUGAAGAAGCGCAUACGGUGGAUGCCUUGGCAGUCAGAGGCGAUGAAAGACGUGGUAGCCUGCGAAAAGCUUCGGGGAGUCGGCAAACAGACUUUGAUCCGGAGAUGUCUGAAUGGGGGAACCCAGCCAUCACAAGAUGGUUAUCUUGUACUGAAUACAUAGGUGCAAGAGGCGAACCAGGGGAACUGAAACAUCUAAGUACCCUGAGGAAAAGAAAUCAACCGAGAUUCCCUUAGUAGUGGCGAGCGAACGGGGACUAGCCCUUAAGUGGCUUUGAGAUUAGCGGAACGCUCUGGAAAGUGCGGCCAUAGUGGGUGAUAGCCCUGUACGCGAAAAUCUCUUGGUCAUGAAAUCGAGUAGGACGGAGCACGAGAAACUUUGUCUGAAUAUGGGGGGACCAUCCUCCAAGGCUAAAUACUACUGACUGACCGAUAGUGAACUAGUACCGUGAGGGAAAGGCGAAAAGAACCCCGGAGAGGGGAGUGAAAUAGAUCCUGAAACCGUAUGCGUACAAGCAGUGGGAGCAGACUUUGUUCUGUGACUGCGUACCUUUUGUAUAAUGGGUCAGCGACUUAUUUUCAGUGGCGAGCUUAACCGAAUAGGGGAGGCGUAGCGAAAGCGAGUCUUAAUAGGGCGUCUAGUCGCUGGGAAUAGACCCGAAACCGGGCGAUCUAUCCAUGGGCAGGUUGAAGGUUAGGUAACACUGACUGGAGGACCGAACCGACUACCGUUGAAAAGUUAGCGGAUGACCUGUGGAUCGGAGUGAAAGGCUAAUCAAGCUCGGAGAUAGCUGGUUCUCCUCGAAAGCUAUUUAGGUAGCGCCUCAUGUAUCACUGUAGGGGGUAGAGCACUGUUUCGGCUAGGGGGUCAUCCCGACUUACCAAACCGAUGCAAACUCCGAAUACCUACAAGUGCCGAGCAUGGGAGACACACGGCGGGUGCUAACGUCCGUCGUGAAAAGGGAAACAACCCAGACCGUCAGCUAAGGUCCCAAAGUUAUGGUUAAGUGGGAAACGAUGUGGGAAGGCUUAGACAGCUAGGAGGUUGGCUUAGAAGCAGCCACCCUUUAAAGAAAGCGUAAUAGCUCACUAGUCGAGUCGGCCUGCGCGGAAGAUGUAACGGGGCUCAAACCAUACACCGAAGCUACGGGUAUCACGUAAGUGAUGCGGUAGAGGAGCGUUCUGUAAGCCUGUGAAGGUGAGUUGAGAAGCUUGCUGGAGGUAUCAGAAGUGCGAAUGCUGACAUGAGUAACGACAAUGGGUGUGAAAAACACCCACGCCGAAAGACCAAGGUUUCCUGCGCAACGUUAAUCGACGCAGGGUUAGUCGGUCCCUAAGGCGAGGCUGAAAAGCGUAGUCGAUGGAAAACAGGUUAAUAUUCCUGUACUUCUGGUUAUUGCGAUGGAGGGACGGAGAAGGCUAGGCCAGCUUGGCGUUGGUUGUCCAAGUUUAAGGUGGUAGGCUGAGAUCUUAGGUAAAUCCGGGAUCUUAAGGCCGAGAGCUGAUGACGAGUUGCCUUUAGGCGACGAAGUGGUUGAUGCCAUGCUUCCAAGAAAAGCUUCUAAGCUUCAGAUAACCAGGAACCGUACCCCAAACCGACACAGGUGGUUGGGUAGAGAAUACCAAGGCGCUUGAGAGAACUCGGGUGAAGGAACUAGGCAAAAUGGCACCGUAACUUCGGGAGAAGGUGCGCCGGUGAGGGUGAAGCACUUGCUGCGUAAGCCCACGCCGGUCGAAGAUACCAGGCCGCUGCGACUGUUUAUUAAAAACACAGCACUCUGCAAACACGAAAGUGGACGUAUAGGGUGUGACGCCUGCCCGGUGCCGGAAGGUUAAUUGAUGGGGUUAGCUAACGCGAAGCUCUUGAUCGAAGCCCCGGUAAACGGCGGCCGUAACUAUAACGGUCCUAAGGUAGCGAAAUUCCUUGUCGGGUAAGUUCCGACCUGCACGAAUGGCGUAACGAUGGCGGCGCUGUCUCCACCCGAGACUCAGUGAAAUUGAAAUCGCUGUGAAGAUGCAGUGUAUCCGCGGCUAGACGGAAAGACCCCGUGAACCUUUACUAUAGCUUUGCACUGGACUUUGAAUUUGCUUGUGUAGGAUAGGUGGGAGGCUUUGAAGCGUGGACGCCAGUUCGCGUGGAGCCAUCCUUGAAAUACCACCCUGGCAACUUUGAGGUUCUAACUCAGGUCCGUUAUCCGGAUCGAGGACAGUGUAUGGUGGGUAGUUUGACUGGGGCGGUCUCCUCCUAAAGAGUAACGGAGGAGUACGAAGGUGCGCUCAGACCGGUCGGAAAUCGGUCGUAGAGUAUAAAGGCAAAAGCGCGCUUGACUGCGAGACAGACACGUCGAGCAGGUACGAAAGUAGGUCUUAGUGAUCCGGUGGUUCUGUAUGGAAGGGCCAUCGCUCAACGGAUAAAAGGUACUCCGGGGAUAACAGGCUGAUACCGCCCAAGAGUUCAUAUCGACGGCGGUGUUUGGCACCUCGAUGUCGGCUCAUCACAUCCUGGGGCUGAAGCCGGUCCCAAGGGUAUGGCUGUUCGCCAUUUAAAGUGGUACGCGAGCUGGGUUUAGAACGUCGUGAGACAGUUCGGUCCCUAUCUGCCGUGGACGUUUGAGAUUUGAGAGGGGCUGCUCCUAGUACGAGAGGACCGGAGUGGACGAACCUCUGGUGUUCCGGUUGUCACGCCAGUGGCAUUGCCGGGUAGCUAUGUUCGGGAAAGAUAACCGCUGAAAGCAUCUAAGCGGGAAACUUGCCUCAAGAUGAGAUCUCACUGGAACCUUGAGUUCCCUGAAGGGCCGUCGAAGACUACGACGUUGAUAGGUUGGGUGUGUAAGCGCUGUGAGGCGUUGAGCUAACCAAUACUAAUUGCCCGUGAGGCUUGACCAU